rnacentral:rRNA from 1 species
GAUGUGGGGACGGAUCUUAAUAGGUCAUCCGGGUGUUGGAUAUCCCGGUUUAGGCAGAUGUAGGCGACAGGUAGGCAAAUCCGCCUGUCAUAUACCGAGGCUGCCGAUCGAGCGAGCUUGCUCGCGAAGUGAUUGAACGAGGUUCCAGGAAAAGCCACUAAGCUUCAGCUACACACGACCGUACCGCAAACCGACACUGGUGCGCGAGAUGAGUAUUCUAAGGCGCUUGAGAGAACUCGGGAGAAGGAACUCGGCAAAUUGACACCGUAACUUCGGAAGAAGGUGUGCCCUAGUAGUGUGAAGUGAACAACGGAGCAUGAAUGGGUUGCAAAAAAUCGGUGGCUGCGACUGUUUAUUAAAAACACAGCACUCUGCAAACACGAAAGUGGACGUAUAGGGUGUGACGCCUGCCCGGUGCUGGAAGAUUAAAUGAUGGGGUGCAAGCUCUUGAUUGAAGUCCCAGUAAACGGCGGCCGUAACAAUAACGGUCCUAAGGUAGCGAAAUUCCUUGUCGGGUAAGUUCCGACCUGCACGAAUGGCGUAACGAUGGCACACUGUCUCCUCCCGAGACUCAGCGAAGUUGAAAUGUUUGUGAUGAUGCAAUCUCCCCGCGGAAAGACGGAAAGACCCCAUGAACCUUUACUGUAGCUUUGUAUUGGACUUUGAACAGAUCUGUGUAGGAUAGGUGGGAGGCUUUGAAGCAGGGUCGCUAGAUCUUGUGGAGCCAACGUUGAAAUACCACCCUGGUGUGUUUGAGGUUCUAACCUAGGUCCAUUAUCUGGAUCGGGGACAGUGCAUGGUAGGCAGUUUGACUGGGGCAGUCUCCUCCCAAAGCGUAACGGAGGAGUUCGAAGGUACGCUAGUUACGGUCGGACAUCGUGACGAUAGUGCAAUGGCAUAAGCGUGCUUAACUGCGAGACUGACAAGUCGAGCAGAUGCGAAAGCAGGACAUAGUGAUCCGGUGGUUCUGUAUGGAAGGGCCAUCGCUCAACGGAUAAAAGGUACUCUGGGGAUAACAGGCUGAUACCGCCCAAGAGUUCAUAUCGACGGCGGUGUUUGGCACCUCGAUGUCGGCUCAUCUCAUCCUGGGGCUGUAGCCGGUCCCAAGGGUAUGGCUGUUCGCCAUUUAAAGAGGUACGUGAGCUGGGUUUAAAACGCCGUGAGACAGUUUGGUCCCUAUCUUCCGUGGGCGCUGCAGAUUUGAGGAAGCCUGCUCCUAGUACGAGAGGACCGGAGUGGACGCACCUCUGGUGUAUCGGUUGUCACGCCAGUGGCAUUGCCGAGUAGCUAUGUGCGGAAGAGAUAACCGCUGAAAGCAUCUAAGCGGGAAACUCGUUCCAAGAUGAGAUCUGCCGGGGCCUUGAGCCCCCUAAAGAGUCGUUCAAGACCAGGACGUUGAUAGGUCAGGUGUGGAAGCGCAGUAAUGCGUUAAGCUAACUGAUACUAAUUGCUCGUGCGGCUUGACCCU